GGAGAGAUGGCUGAGCGGCUGAAAGCGGCGGUCUCGAAAACCGUUAACCGAGUUAUCCUCGGUUCGGGGGUUCAAAUCCCCCUCUCUCCGCCA
rnacentral:tRNA from 1 species